GUCCAUGUAGAGCAAUGGAUCGUGCAAUAGACUUCUAGUCUAAAGGUCGUGGAUUCGAAUUCUACCUUGGAUG